UCCAUCGCGAGGUGGAAUCUGAAGAAAGCUGAAGGCAAAACACUGGCCCGACGAACAGAAAUCGCAUAGGAGGCGGUCGCAGUGGGUGAGAAGGCCAAUAGCUUCAAUACCCAAAGGGCACAAGAGCCCGAUACUUGCACGGAAACUGCGGACGUAGAUGCGGCAGGAAGGUCACGCGCAUUACC
rfam:Endozoicomonas numazuensis strain DSM 25634 scaffold00003, whole genome shotgun sequence.